rnacentral:rRNA from 1 species
AUUGAACGCUGGCGGCAUGCUUUACACAUGCAAGUCGAACGGUAACAGGGAGCUUGCUCCGCUGACGAGUGGCGAACGGGUGAGUAAUGCAUCGGAACGUACCGUGUAAUGGGGGAUAACGUAGCGAAAGUUACGCUAAUACCGCAUACGCCCUGAGGGGGAAAGUGGGGGACCGCAAGGCCUCACGUUAUACGAGCGGCCGAUGUCGGAUUAGCUAGUUGGAGGGGUAAAGGCCUACCAAGGCGACGAUCCGUAGCGGGUCUGAGAGGAUGAUCCGCCACACUGGGACUGAGACACGGCCCAGACUCCUACGGGAGGCAGCAGUGGGGAAUUUUGGACAAUGGGCGCAAGCCUGAUCCAGCCAUGCCGCGUGAGUGAAGAAGGCCUUCGGGUU